rnacentral:rRNA from 1 species
UGAGGAACAUGACCUUCGGCGGGGGAUAGCCGGCCCAACGGCCGGGUAAUACCGCGUACGACCACAUGGGGACAUCCCUGAGUGGUGAAAGCAGCAAUGCGCCGAUGGAGUGCCUCGCGGCCUAUCAGCUAGUUGGUGAGGUAACGGCUCACCAAGGCGACGACGGGUANCUGGUCUGAGAGGAUGGCCAGCCACAUUGGGACUGAGACACGGCCAGACU